UUGUGAAUUUCUAUCUAGGCCAAAAAUUAUCUACUUUCUCAGACAGAUUUAAUGAAAUUUUACUUUUGCAUUCGUUUUGACGUCAUUAUUGUUUAAU